rnacentral:rRNA from 1 species
AUUGAACGCUGGCGGCAUGCCUUACACAUGCAAGUCGAACGGCAGCACGGGAGCAAUCCUGGUGGCGAGUGGCGAACGGGUGAGUAAUAUAUCGGAACGUGCCCAGUCGUGGGGGAUAACGCAGCGAAAGCUGUGCUAAUACCGCAUACGAUCUAUGGAUGAAAGCGGGGGAUCGCAAGACCUCGCGCGAUUGGAGCGGCCGAUAUCAGAUUAGCUAGUUGGUGAGGUAAAGGCUCACCAAGGCGACGAUCUGUAGCUGGUCUGAGAGGACGACCAGCCACACUGGAACUGAGACACGGUCCAGACUCCUACGGGAGGCAGCAGUGGGGAAUUUUGGACAAUGGGCGAAAGCCUGAUCCAGCAAUGCCGCGUGCAGGAUGAAGGCCUUCGGGUUGUAAACUGCUUUUGUACGGAACGAAACGGUGAGCUCUAAUACAGUUUGCUAAUGACGGUACCGUAAGAAUAAGCACCGGCUAACUACGUGCCAGCCGCCGCCGUAA